rnacentral:rRNA from 1 species
GACAGAGGAGCCAAGCGUUGUCCGGAAUUACUGGGCGUAAAGCGCGCGCAGGCGGCUAUCCAAGUCAGUGGUGAAAGCCCGGAGCUCAACUCCGGAACUGCCAUUGAAACUGUUUAGCUUGAGGACGAGAGAGGUGAGUGGAAUUCCCAGUGUAGAGGUGAAAUUCGUAGAUAUUCGGAGGAACACCAGUGGCGAAGGCGGCUCACUGGCUCGACACUGACGCUGAGGUGCGAAAGCGUGGGGAGCAAACAGG